UACGAAGGGGGCUAGCGUUGCUCGGAAUCACUGGGCGUAGAGGGCGCGUAGGCGGCCGAUCAAGUCAGGGGUGAAAGCCUGUGGCUCAACCACAGAAUUGCCUUUGAUACUGUUUGGCUCGAGACCGGAAGAGGUUGGUGGAACUGCGAGUGUAGAGGUGAAAUUCGUAGAUAUUCGCAAGAACACCAGUGGCGAAGGCGGCCAACUGGUCCGGUUCUGACGCUGAGGCGCGAAAGCGUGGGGAGCAAAC
rnacentral:rRNA from 1 species